UUUCAGAUUAACGACGAUUAUCAACAUUUUUUAAAUGUUUACGUUGGCGAAGGACGAGACCUACCCUUCUCCAACAUCGACGAAUUGGAAAUGAACACUUUCAAUCUUCCUCCGACUGAGUAUACACACAUGUAUGCAGUCGGAGAAGAUUUCGAAAGAGCCCAUCGAAACGUGAAACGUUUAAUAACACCUGAUCUAUGGGAAUGGGCAAAAAACAACGCCACAAACUCCCACAUUAGCCUCCCUUGCCCAAAUGGGGUCAAACUCACAUUGAUAUUUCUGGAACCAAA